rnacentral:rRNA from 1 species
AGAAUCAACGCUGGCGGCGUGCCUAACACAUGCAAGUCGAACGAGAAAGUGGAGCAAUCCAUGAGUAAAGUGGCGCACGGGUGAGUAACACGUGACUAACCUACCCUUGAGUGGGGGAUAACCUAGAGAAAUCUGGGCUAAUACCGCAUAAUACCUUCGGGUCAAAGGAGCAAUUCGCUUAAGGAGGGGGUCGCGGCCGAUUAGCUAGUUGGCGGGGUAAUGGCCCACCAAGACUAUGAUCGGUA